rnacentral:rRNA from 1 species
UACGGAGGGUGCGAGCGUUAAUCGGAAUUACUGGGCGUAAAGCGCGCGUAGGUGGCGUGAUAAGCCGGUUGUGAAAGCCCCGGGCUCAACCUGGGAACGGCAUCCGGAACUGUCAGGCUAGAGUGCAGGAGAGGAAGGUAGAAUUCCCGGUGUAGCGGUGAAAUGCGUAGAGAUCGGGAGGAAUACCAGUGGCGAAGGCGGCCUUCUGGACUGACACUGACGCUGAGGCGCGAAAGCGUGGGUAGCAAACAGGAUUAGAUACCCCCGUAGUCC